GCUCUCGUAGUUAAAUGGAUAUAAUGCAAGCUUGCGGAGCUUGCGUUCCAGGUUCGAUUCCUGGCGAGGGCA
rnacentral:tRNA from 1 species